rnacentral:rRNA from 1 species
UCCGUAGGCGGGCGAUUAAGUCAGAGGUGAAAUCCCACAGCUCAACUGUGGAACUGCCUUUGAUACUGGUUGUCUUGAGUUACAGUGAAGUAGAUAGAAUAUGUAGUGUAGCGGUGAAAUGCAUAGAUAUUACAUAGAAUACCGAUUGCGAAGGCAGUCUACUAACUGUUAACUGACGCUAAGGGACGAAAGCGUGGGGAGCGAACAGGAUUAGAUACUCUGGUAGUCC